rnacentral:rRNA from 1 species
GAUGAACGCUAGCGGCAGGCCUAAUACAUGCAAGUCGCGGGGUAGAAGAGGCUUGCUUCUUUGAGACCGGCGCACGGGUGCGUAACGAGUAUGCAACCUACCUUCAUCUGGGGGAUAGCCCGGCGAAAUCCGGAUUAAUUCCGUAUAAACUCACAGGAUGGCAUUAUCCAAUGUUCAAACAUUUACGGGAUGGAUAUGGGCAUGCGUGUCAUUAGCUAGUUGGCGGGGUAACGGCCCACAAAGGCGACGAUGACUAGGGGAUCUGAGAGGAUGGCCCCCCACACUGGUACUGAGACACGGACCAGACUCCUACGGGAGGCAGCAGUAAGGAAUAUUGGUCAAUGGAGGCAACUCUGAACCAGCCAUGCCGCGUGCAGGAAGACUGCCCUAUGGGUUGUAAACUGCUUUUAUUCGGGAAUAAACCUAAUUACGUGUAAUAAGCUGAAUGUACCGAAGGAAUAAGGAUCGGCUAACUCCGUGCCAGCCGCCGCUGUAAGAC